GCCCUUACUGCCCUAUGUCCUGUGCCCUUCUGGUCAUGUGCUUUCUUCUCAUUUCUAUAAGCUGUUUGGUGGCAUCUAGUUUGCUUUUGAAGGUAUAAUACAGUUUGAAAUUCAUCGUUGUCCUAGCUAUCUAAAUGUAUUUACCUUACUUUGAAUGAUAGCUAAAGACUGUUAGGAUUCUAAAGCCAAAUAUUUGAUAGAUUGAAAAGACAGAUUUAACCCAUGAGAAACAGAGAGCAUUUAGGGCUUUUGGUUUCUCGUAUUCACACAAGCCCUGUCAAAUUGUUUAUGUAAAUAAGACCUUUUAUGUGUGACAGUUGAAAUUUGUCGUUAACUCUGAAUGACCUAAAAAAUAGCAAUUCCAGUAAAUACUAACCAUUUUUUUCUAUUUCUAUUCAGAGCACUAAAACAAUGAGACUAUUCAAAUUAAAGCAUUCUCUACUCAUAUUUUUAUAUCCAUUCUAUCUCUUUCUCCAUCCUUCUCAACUUUCACCAAGUUCACAAGUAUAUAGAGCUCUUAUCCUCAGUGUCUAAGCCAAUGCCUGAUACUAUUACGUACCAUGUGCAUUAACUAUAAUUCCACUAAAAGAUCCAUUGUAAUAGUCAUAGAAUCUUAGAGUUUAAAGGACUCUUAGUGAUCUCCUCAUCCAGAUGAUUGUUUUACAGAUGAGAAAACUGAGGCCCCCUAAAUGAGAAGUGACUUUCCAAGGUGCCACAACUAAUGAGAAAAAGAACUGAGUUUCCCUGUGACCAACUCCAUUUACAUCACAUUCUACCACCCAGACCUGCCUCUAUAUACACAUACCACAGAGUUCUCCUGAAAAAAGAAAAGAGCAGAUAAAAGUGAAUUUUUGAAUAAGUGACCCCAAAAAGUCAGAUAAAAGUAAAAAAACAAAAGUAUAAAGCAUGUCAUCCCUCCCCUAUUUGCACCGACAUCUCUAACCACAGAUACACACACGCACACCAUAUGCAAAGAUAGUCACUGUAAUUGACUUCGGUUUUCACCUUAUAGUCAAUGUUAGAAGCAGGGGAUAACGUAAGCCCUGGUGGGAAGACCAUCCAUUGAGUUCUUUGUGAGUCAAAAUUCUUCAGCCCACAACAGUGAAAUGAAGCUUAUCAGAGUUAACAUCAGAGGGAGGUAAAAUAUUUCUGUGAUAUUCUUUGUAUGAAAUCUACACUUUGAAAUGGAUUAGUAACCUGUGAACAAUACAUAUUUUAGUUAAGAUAUAAAUUAUGUGAGCAAAGUGGUUUUUCAGUGUUUACUUUUCUUAUUUUAGUUUUGAACCUAUCUUAAAAUCACAGACUUGUAGAAGAAAUCUCUAAUGCAGUAUUUAUUAGGGGUUCACUCUUGCCCUAUUACAGCUUUAAUUAGUGACAUCCCAGUGCUGUUACAGCAUAGCAGUGUUUUAACAUGUAAUCUACUUGAGAUAACACAUUUGUAAAAUAAUUACUAGAAGGUAAACUUACGUUAAUGUCCUGUGUGGUUUCUACAAAGUGUCUCAUUAUAGACCUCUUGGCCACUAGAUAUUUUAUGAUAAAAAAAAAAAAAAUUAAGGAAGAAUAUACCGAGGGGAAAAAUGUAAAAGGAGAAGCCUGUUUCUGAAGAAUGGAUGUUACUGCCAUUACCAUGUCCUGGGAAUACCUAUGGAGCUCUGGUGCUAAGCCUGCCAAAAGACCCGGCAGCCCUCCAGCACAUGUUUAAUUCUCCAACCCAAUAAUGAUUGAUUUGUUAAAUCACUGAAAGAAUCAUCACUUUAAAAUAUUUCACCUGGAAGCCUUUUAAACAUUUCCAAAGCAAGGAUAAACAACAUCCCUUAUGCAAUGACCUGAUUUUUGUUGAUGAAAUGUAUUGCAUGAAGGACCCAUGCGGCUGCAUUGGCUGCUGUGGUUGUGUACUUCCGCCCUCUGGUGGAUUCUUUAGGAACAGCUUAAGUGUGUCUGGCAACCCUCAAUACAGUGGGCUUUGGAAGCCAAAAAGUGGGUCCUAGCACACCAAUACAGUGACUAGAAGGGUUUCCAUUUCUUACAAGACAUGAAUAUCAGAGUGAACAAACAUGUGGAUCUAGUGUUCUGAAAUGGUAUUUCAACUGCUAAGAAUUUUCACAUUUCUCUUAAAUGAGGAAAGAGAAAAUAAUUUUAUUAAAAGGAAAUUAAAAUAAUCUUUAACCCACUUAAACCCGUACCAGGAAUUUUAUUGUUCAUUAUAGCUCAAGGUUUUGCUUCUGAUUUUCUUUCUUACAAGCCACAUUUUCAACUUUAUUUCUAAAAUGAUAAAGAUGAUAAUCACUCAUUGUUCAUCAUUGUUGAUUUGAAACCUCUGCAAAUCAAGUGAAGAUGUUCAAAAAUAAUUCUUACAACUUGGUACAUAGAGGACCCACUACUUUUAAAUGAACAGAUUUUGAUUUUUCUAUAAAUGUUUUACAUAAACAUAAAUAUAAAACAAAAAAGCGUUUUGUGUUUUCCUGAAGGUUGCCCUUGAUCAAAAACCAUUCACAGUUAAAGCUUUUGAUAUGAUACUAAAAUUCUCCCAUUGACACAAUGUGAAUUUGGAUUUUGGGAAUUCUGCCUCCAGUUUGCAAAGAUAUUAAUAUAAAAUGUUAUGCAAAAUAUGAGAGUCUUCUCCCAAACCAUGCUAAGAUCAUUAUUGCCCUAGUUGAUGCCCUAGUACAUUUGCCGCGGGUGGAAGUUUUCUUUUUUUUUUUUUUUCUUUUUUGAUUGGGAUUAUUUUAACCAAGUAGUUAGACUUUUUCUUUUCUAUGUUAGGAAAGUGGCAAAACCACACACACUUACAAAAAUAGCAGCAUAAUAAUUCUUGGCAUUUCUCUGACAGGUUUAUUCUAAGUUACUGUAAGUGUUCUUAUAGACAUUAUCUCAUUAUUCUUCAAGAUGUUGCAGUUCUGUUAGUGGCAGGCAUGGUUAUUUGCAUUUUGCAGAUGGAAAAACUGAGGCUGUGUCUACACUGCAAAGUGGAAUACAUAAUUAACGGAACUACCCAGAUAAUUCUGGCUCACAGAUAUGACAGCUGAAAUAUUUGUGCAACUGAAGCAGAAAACAUUUGAGAAGUCUUUGUUCAUAGAAUUGGUGCCUUAGUGAAAUGCUUCAACUGAUCAGAACAAAGGCAACCCACAGAAUCCUUCCUUGAUUUAUUUCAUUACAUUGAAAGUACAGAGUAAGUAGAACAGGGGACAGUGUCCAGAUAUGGCCUAAUGAUGAGAAAUGUGUAAAUGUUACAUCAGAUUGUCACAUGACUUGGUGAAAGAUUGAUCAGUGUUUAGUGGCAUCUAUAUCUGCAUAAGCACAACAAAAUUUAUUCCAUUCAAUUCAGCAAACAUACCUUGAACCCGUAGUAUGUUCUGGGUUCCAGAGCCAGUAAUGAGAAUACAAAAGAGUUCAUAAUGAGGUGAAAACCAAAUAUUAUGCAGAGGAUGAAACAGUACCUGAGGGUCUGGGCAAAGCUAUUCAAGAGUGAAGGAGAGGGGACAAUGAAUUAUGCCUCCAGCAUGUGCACCAGGUGGUGGUUACGAAGGA